GACGAACGCUGGCGGCGUGCUUAACACAUGCAAGUCGAGCGGAAAGGCCCUUCGGGGUACUCGAGCGGCGAACGGGUGAGUAACACGUGGGCAACCUGCCCUCAGCUCUGGGACAACUCCGGGAAACCGGGGCUAAUACCGGAUACGACCGCUGCCGGCAUCGGUGGUGGUGGAAAGUUCUUCGGCUGAGGAUGGGCCCGCGGCCUAUCAGCUUGUUGGUGGGGUGAUGGCCUACCAAGGCGACGACGGGUAGCCGGCCUGAGAGGGCGACCGGCCACACUGGGACUGAGACACGGCCCAGACUCCUACGGGAGGCAGCAGUGGGGAAUAUUGCGCAAUGGGCGGAAGCCUGACGCAGCGACGCCGCGUGAGGGAUGAAGGCCUUCGGUUGUAACCUCUUUCAGCAGGGACGAAGCGAGAGUGACGGUACC
rnacentral:rRNA from 1 species